rnacentral:rRNA from 1 species
UACGGAGGGUGCAAGCGUUAUCCGGAUUUACUGGGCGUAAAGGGCGCGUAGGCGGCGCGGUAAGUCACUUGUGAAAUCUCUGAGCUUAACUCAGAACGGCCAAGUGAUACUGCAGUGCUAGAGUGCAGAAGGGGCAAUCGGAAUUCUUGGUGUAGCGGUGAAAUGCGUAGAUAUGUGGAGGAAUACCGAUGGCGAAGGCAGCCCCCUGGGAUAACACUGACGCUCAUGCACGAAAGCGUGGGGAGCAAACAGG